UACGGAGGGUGCAAGCAUUAAUCGGAUUUAUUGGGCGUAAAGGGCGCGUAGGCGGAAAGAUAAGUCAGGUGUGAAAUCCCGGGGCUCAACCUCGGAACAGCAUUUGAAACUGUCAUUCUAGAGGAUAGAUGGAGAAAACGGAAUUCCACAAGUAGCGGUGAAAUGCGUAGAUAUGUGGAAGAACACCGGUGGCGAAGGCGGUUUUCUAAUUUAGACCUGACGCUGAGGCGCGAAAGCAAGGGGAUCAAACAGG
rnacentral:rRNA from 1 species